rnacentral:rRNA from 1 species
GUGGGGAAUUUUGGACAAUGGGGGCAACCCUGAUCCAGCCAUGCCGCGUGCGGGAAGAAGGCCUUCGGGUUGUAAACCGCUUUUGUCAGGGAAGAAAUCCUUUGGGUUAAUACCUCGGAGGGAUGACGGUACCUGAAGAAUAAGCACCGGCUAACUACGUGCCAGCAGCCGCGGUAAUACGUAGGGUGCGAGCGUUAAUCGGAAUUACUGGGCGUAAAGCGUGCGCAGGCGGUUUUGUAAGAUCGAUGUGAAAUCCCCGGGCUCAACCUGGGAACUGCAUUGGUGACUGCAAGGCUGGAGUGCGGCAGAGGGGGAUGGAAUUCCGCGUGUAGCAGUGAAAUGCGUAGAUAUGCGGAGGAACACCGAUGGCGAAGGCAAUCCCCUGGGCCUGCACUGACGCUCAUGCGCGAAAGCGUGGGGAGCAAACAGGAUUAGAUACUCGGGUAGUCC